rnacentral:rRNA from 1 species
UGGUGGAGUGAUUUGUCUGGUUAAUUCCGUUAACGAACGAGACCUCGACCUGCUAAAUAGCUUUUGGAUGCAAUUUGGAUCUACAUUAAGCUUCUUAGAGGGACUUUGGGCGGGUAACCUAAGGAAGUUCGAGGCAAUAACA